GAUGAACGCUGGCGGCGUGCUUAACACAUGCAAGUCGUACGGUAAGGCCCUUUCCGGGGUACACGAGUGGCGAACGGGUGAGUAACACGAGCGUAACCUUCCCACAACUUUGGGAUAACGCUAGGAAACUGGUGCUAAUACUGGAUAUGUGCUCCUGCUGCAUGGUGGGGGUUGGAAAGCUCCGGCGGUUGUGGAUGGACCUGGGGCCUAUCAGCUUGCUGGUGUGGUAGUGGCCUACCAAGGCGGCGUCGGGUAGCAGGCCUGAGUGGGUGACCGGCCACAUUGGGACUGAGCUACGGCCCAGACUCCUACGGGAGGGAGCAGUGGGGAAGAUUGCACAAUGGGCGCAAGCCUGAUGCAGCAACGCCGCGGGCGGGAUGACGGCCUUCGGGUUGUAGACCGAUUUCAGCAGGGACGAAGCUUUUUGUGACGGUACCUGCAGAAGAAGCACCGGCUAACUACGUG
rnacentral:rRNA from 1 species